UUAGAAUAGUAUGAUUGUGCGUAAUUGCGCCAUAACAAGUGCUAGCUAUAGUCGAGUUGAAAAUGCCUUGCCUCACUGUUUUCAAGCGUGCGUGGAUGCCAGUUAGAUAAUGUGUUGUGAUGAACCAUCUUGCAUUGAGGAAAAAUUUCGUUGUUAGUCAUUCUCAUCGAUAUUUGGAAUCGAAAACUGUUCAGAUAAACUAACCCUGUGAUUUGCUAUUUUUUAUAAGGAUGUGCUCUUGUAGCACUCUCGGUUCCAGUCGAGGCAGCUAUUUUUAACUUAACUAGAUCCAGUGCUUGUUAUAGCAGUACGAUUUCGUACUAUCAAAAUAUUCUAUAGAAAAACAUACGAUUGAUUUCUACAGAUUUUGCGCCUGGUAAGGUCAAACACCCCUCCUCUCCUCCUCGGAUUCUAUUCUAGUCACAAAUUUGAGAAUUCAUUCAAGCGUGUUAUGCAAGAUAUUGGUGGCGAU